UACGGGGGGGGCAAGCGUUGUUCGGAAUUACUGGGCGUAAAGGGCUCGUAGGCGGCCAACUAAGUCGGACGUGAAAUCCCCAGGCUCAACCUGGGAACUGCGUCCGAUACUGGAUGGCUUGAAUUCGGGAGAGGGAUGCAGAAUUCCAGGUGUAGCGGUGAAAUGCGUAGAUAUCUGGAGGAACACCGGUGGCGAAGGCGGCAUCCUGGACCGGCAUUGACGCUGAGGCGCGAAAGCCAGGGGAGCAAACGGG
rnacentral:rRNA from 1 species